UAUGACUCUCGGCAAUGGAUAUCUUGGCUCUUGCCUCGAUGAAGAACGCAACGAAAUGCGAUACGUGGUGCGAAUUGCAGAAUCCCGUGAACCAUCGAGUUUUUGAACGCAAGUUGCGCCUGAGGCCAACUGGCCAAGGGCACGUCCGCCUGGGCGUCUUGC
rnacentral:rRNA from 1 species